rnacentral:rRNA from 1 species
GUCCUUUUGAUUAUAUUUAAGGUCUAACCUGCCCACUGAAUUUUUAAAGGCCGCAGUACUCUAACUGUGCAAAGGUAGCAUAAUAAUUAGUCUUUUAAUUGGAGGCUGGAAUGAAUGGUUGGACGAGGUAUAGACUGUUUCAUAUGAAAUUAUAGUAGAAUUUUAUUUUUCAGUAAAAAAGCUGAGAUGUAUUUAAAAGACGAGAAGACCCUAUAAAUCUUUACAUUUAAAAUAAAAUUUAAAAUAAGAAAAUUUUUCCUAUUUUAUUGAAAAUGUUUUAUUGGGGUGAUAUUAAAAUUUAUAAAACUUUUAUUUUUUUAAACCAUUUAUUUAUGAUUUAAUGAUCCGUAUAAACGAUUAAUAAACUAAGUUACUUUAGGGAUAACAGCGUAAUUUUUUUGGAGAGAUCAUAUCGAUAAGAAAGAUUGCGACCUCGAUGUUGGAUUAAGGGAUUAAUUUAG